AAAAAACAGACAUAUCUCAAUACCAUUUUAAUCUUACAAGAUGUACAGUAUAUAGAUGUUUGACUAUUUUUUUACCAUAUCUUCAGCUAAACGAAGCUUUCCUUUGCGGCUGGUGGUGUGAGGAAUCUGAUUUUUUCUAAUCUCUCUGUACUUGUUACUUAUUUCCUACAAUAUAAAUAUGAGUGUGAUUAAAUCUAUAAGACAUGACCUAUAAACAAGAAAGUUACUUAGUUGUAGAUAACUAACCGUGAAAGUUGUGGUAGUCUUGCUCUUAACCCAACAGUUCCACACUUGAAUGGAUGGGAUGUUGCUGGGUUUUAAAUCUAUUCUUUCAGCAGUAGUCUUUGCAGCACGUACUUGUGACACUAGCCUUGACUUCCCAGCCCUCCACAAAUUUGCCAGCUGCUUGAAAAUAACAGCUUUCUGUCACUCUUCUUGCAAGUUAAACCUCCCAUGCAUCACAAUAAGCAAAUGUCAAACAUGUUUAUAAUUUCAUCUUGCGGUUCAACAAAAAAUAUAUAUACGAUAGUGUUACCUGAAUUUCUUCCCACAUUGUUGCUUUAGUCGCUGCAUCAAGUAGUCUCCAAUCAGAAAGUGUUACCGGAACAUGUUCCCUCACAAGAGGACCAAGAAAAGACGAUAGUGUUAUUGUACCAGGUCCAAUAUGAUCACCAAAGUCAGUGAAUGUGACCGCAACCUUUUCAUUAGGAUUUUCAGCCACUCUACGCAUAUUUGUUGGUCCUCUUUUAUUUUUUUUCUUUCACUUCAUCCCCUGGUAGCUGAACUCCUUCAGUAUAAGGAAUCUCAUCAUCUUGAGCAUUGCUAACUCCAUCUUCUUCCAUAUUGAGAGCUUCUUCUUUGUUCUCUUUCUCAUUGAGAACUCCAUCUUCUACCAUAUUGUGAGCUUCUUCUUCAUCCUCUUUCUGUUCUUGUCCAGUCAAACAAGCUUCUUCAUCAU
rnacentral:lncRNA from 1 species